AUUCCAGCUCCAAUAGCGUAUAUUAAAGUUGUUGCAGUUAAAAAGCUCGUAGUUGGAUUUCGGAACCGGCCGAUUGGUCCGUCCUCUGGAUCGUGUACUGAUCGGUCUGUUCUUCUUCGCGAAGACCGCGUGUGCCCUUAACUGGGUGGGCGCGGGAUUCGCGACGUUUACUUUGAAAAAAUUAGAGUGUUCAAAGCAGGCAGUCGCUUGAAUAUCUCAGCAUGGAAUAAUAGAAUAGGACUUUGGUCUUAUUUUGUUGGUUUCCGAGACCGAAGUAAUGAUUAACAGGGACAGUCAGGGGCACUCGUAUUCCGCCGAGAGAGGUGAAAUUCUCAGACCAGCGGAAGACGAACCACUGCGAAAGCAUUAGCCAGGGAUGUUUUCAUUA
rnacentral:rRNA from 1 species